ACUGCCCCUAGAGGCCGUGCUGGUGUGGUCACCAUGUCACAUGUGUGUCAGUAGGCGGCAGAGAGGACAGGCUGUGUCUACACUCAGGGUUCUGACCUGUGAACAUCUGAACGAUAGGUAGCAUAACAAA